rnacentral:lncRNA from 1 species
AGGACUUUUGUCUGCAGUGAGUGCGCAUGCGCCUCUCAGCUGGGAGACCGUGGGCGGAGGUGAUACAACCUGACUGAUGAUGGCUGACAAAAGAAGAAGAAAGUAGCUGAGAACCAGCAGCUGAAGAAAGUAAGCAAUAUUGUGUUCUCUCUCUCUCUCUCUCUCUCUCUCUCUCUCUCUCUCUCUCUCAUUGUUAUCUGUUGGUUUGUUGGGGUUCUGAGAUAGACGCUCAUGUGAUUGAGGGUGGCCUUGAACUCCCCAUCCUCCUGCCUCGUCCUCCCCAGUGAUGGGAUUGGAUUAUAGGCAGGUGCGAGUGUCUCUGGGUACCAGCGUAAGAAUACAUCGACAUCUUUUCUUUCCUUUUAUCUUUCCGCGUCUUGUUUUUCCCAGUUCUUCCCUUCACAGCUGAUGUAAGUUUGCGCCAAUGCCCUUCUUACUCAUGUUGGUCACAGAUUCGGAGAAAGGAAAUUUCAAAACACCUGAAGUAGGUAGAUGUCCAGGUACAAGGGCCGAUGGACUCCACAGCUACCUGAGUUCAAAGAAUGAGUUUGCUGUUGCUCUCAUAAAGAACUGUCUUGUUUUGGUUUUAUUUAUUUUGUCUUAUGUGUAGCGAUGUUUUGCCUGCAUCAUGAUAUAUGUGCAUCAUAUAUGGCCCCACACCCAAGGAAGUCAGACGAGGCCUUCCAAUUCCCUGGAACUGGAGUUAUGGAUGUUAUGACCCACCAUGUGGGCGCUAGGAAUCAAACUAAUGUCCUGUACAAGAGCACACGUGCUUUUAACUCUGGACCGUCUCUCCAGAUGCAAGGAACUGUUUUUACAAGAAAUUUCUAGGAAUCUGGGAACUAGAAGAGAGGAAUAUCUGGUUUCUCCUUAUUAGAGUUGGUUCUACUUGGAUAGCCUCAAGUAAUGUGACCCCAAGCUAGUCAGAGGCUUCAAGGUUCAGUACAGACUUCAGGGCAGCCUGAACCCAAGCCUCAGCCAAUGACGCCCGGGCUUGAGAGCUGGGGGAUGGGGCGGGGAGGAGGACUGGCUUAUUAAGUUAGUAAGCAGGUUUUGGGAGCAGAGAUGUCAGGUGAGCUGCACUGUACAUAGAGAAGAGUCAGUUCUGUGUGGUUCUAAGUGAAAUCAAUCACGGCUCAGUUCAGCAUUCACGGUUCACCGCGAACCACUGCCAAGUGGUUUUCAGGGGACCCAACUUCACUGCAGAAAGGAGCUGUUAUUUAAAGUGGGGGCAUUAAGGCAGAAGGAGAAAAAGAAGGAAACCUCUCCUCAGGCUGCUGUUGUUCUCCUUAACCUGCCCUCAGGAGAUCACCCAGUCCCUUCCCAGAGGCGGUUUGAUGAAAAGGUAGGAGGAGAGUUUGCCUACCGGAAGCAGUAUUACUGACUGCUCCUUCCUGGGGAUUCCUAGGUCUUGGCUCUCCGGACAUAACCCCUGUCUGUCUGUCCUUCCCCGGGGUUCCUCCUUGCCGCUAUCUUUACUCUCUUCAGGGUCUUGCCCUACCCCUUGAGUAAUGAUUACACGCAAGCGCACACCGUUAACCCAUCCGGUCUUCUAAAACCCACAAGCCAUCUUGGCUAUCGCCUUUAGGCUGGUGACUCUGUCUUCGCACCAUCCACACUGUAUGCACCCACAGCAACUCUAAAGCCAUCCAUUGCUUCUUCUUCUCCCAGAUCCAACCCAUCGCCAGAUCCUGUUGACUUCGUCUUCUGAUUCUCUCUCCAGUUGUGCGCUUCUAGUCCCGUGGGGAAGGUUUUCUAUGAGGCUUGAAUCACUUCUCACCUGGAUUUCUCUGAGUUUGUUUGUUUGUUUGUUUUUGUUUUGUUUUUGUUUUUGGAGACAGGGUUUCUCUGUGUAACCCUGGCUGUCCUGGAACGCACUCUGUAGACCAGGCUGGCCUCGAACUGAGAAAUUCACCUGCCUCUGCCUUCCAAAUCCUGGGAUUAAAGGCAUGCGCCACCACUAAGGGGCUUUCACCUGGAUUCCUAAUUUCUCUGUUUCUCACCUAUUUUCUGAUCAGUCCUUGAAUCAAAGUGAUCUCUUCUGCUCUUCUUUUAACAACUUUUUAGAACAUCUGAUAGAGCCCUUUGCUAAAAAAAUUAAAAAAAAAAUUUUUAAUGUCCAGUGACAAAGCUUUUAUAACUGUGAUUGUGACAUCCCCAAAACCUUGCUUCAACCUCUAAGUCACACCAGGCUCCUUGCUUGCCUUCAAAAACACAGCGUGAUGCUUUUGUUCCGUGCCCUCUGUAGGAAAUGCUGUCUCCUGCCAGGUGGGCUCCUCCUUCACCAACCGAUCGGAUUCAUUUCUAAAGGGUGGGAUCAUCUCCAUAGAUCUACUAGGGCGCAUUAGAAGACGUACUUCAAGAACCGACUUGUACAGUUGUCUUCCUGGACAAAUGGGGGAAGACUCCUGAAAGACUUGCUAGCAUCAGCUCUCCCCGCUUCUGGUGUGCCCAGCUGUUCACCAAAUACUCAAUAAAUGCUAAUGGGUGGGAAGACAAUCAGCUUUGCACACAAAGAAGCCCUGCACCCACCAGGAAGUGCCUCCCUUUCCUGGAGAGAGCUAUUCAGGCUGGUGGAGUCUGACCCUAGAAAUCAGCCAGGAGCUGGAAUGAGGUCAAAACGCGUUCCUUUAGCUUAAAAGAACGAUCGAUCGAGAGAGUGUAGGACCAAGAGUCAAGAGUGGAUCAAAUGCGCAUGCUUGGGGAUUCUCUGAGCUUUUCCUCCCCGUGGCUAAAUUCUGACAGUACAUACAACUUUCUUCAGAACUGUAUUCUUAGGGAGCACUUGAAGAGGUUAAACUUCAGUGAACUUCCCACCCCUACCUCUGCCUCCUCCUGUCUUUUUCCUGAUUUAGUAGACAUCACUUGCACUAAGUGUAGGGAUGUUCAAGUGGUCACUAGAAAAUUCUUCCAUACCCAAAUACCUGCUGGAAAAAAUACCACACCACUGUAGUCACAGUGUAUCCAACUGGGCGUCAUAACUGCGACUCCAAUGCAGCAAUUGUUCCUCUAAAUAUUUUCUUAAGUGUAUAUAAGUAACAAAUAUACUUUUUAAUGACUGCAGGUUUUGAUCAUCGUCAAAUGACUGAGUUUCACAGCAUGGCUACCACACACCUUCUUUAUGGAAAUAACUAAGUAUUUCUAAAUGGCUUCCAUUAACAUAUAGAAAAAAAUGUUAAUUCUUUUAAAUGGCUGGUGGGGGAUGCUAUACAUACUGUCAGAAUUGAGCUUUUCCUAACAAUUCUCUAAGCACGUUAUGUUUGAAAAUGCAAUGUGUAUACAGCAGAAACUGUAUUAAGACCUAACAGGCUUUUAUAAGUUUGUCCUUCAUAAACAAUUUUAGUUUCUAAAAUAUGAGAAUGCUUUCCCUGCCAAUUCCAUAUCAAAGCUCUGAGACUUUGCAUGUCUACAGAGCAGAGUUCAUGACCUCCUGCUAACCUUGUUAACAAUCUACCAGGUUUCUAAAGGCUCAGCAGGGGUUAGAGUUAGAAGGCUCUGCCACUAACAUCAAUAACAGGAUCUGUGACAACACUUGGAGAACAUUUCCACCACGCUCACCAAGAAAGGUUCCAAACAUUCAGAGACUGAAGCGCCGACUGAAAGAAAUCUAUGGUUAGUCAUUCCAGACAGACUCUAGAGAGACACAUUUCUUCAGACCUUGUUUUUAAAAAGUGGGAGUUUUAAACUCUCUCUCUCCGUGUGUGUGUGUGUGUGUGUGUGUGUGUGUGUGUGUGUGUUAUAUUACAAUAGCCAUACUUACUAUUUUAAAGAGCUUUACCACAGACUUUUUAAAUAGCCAACCUAUGGACAAACUAUUCAUAUCUAAAUGAACUUAGAGUUCAAGUUUUUGGUUUGAUCCACAGGCAAGAAAAUAUGAGUGAAGUCACAAAUGUCACCAAGGAAAGGAAGAACAGAAAAAUAACUUGAAUAUUCAAGAUGGGCAGCCUAGUUCAACGACACAUCAAGCCUUGUGAAAAGGUGACUCCGAGGUAAGAGUUGCCUGCUCUUCCAGAGAAGCUGAGUGCCUGAGUUCAGUCCCCAGCCUGGUGACUCAUCGAACAAGUGACUGUAAUUAAUUCCAGGAGACCCACACCCUCUUCUGCCUGACAAGGUCACAAGACUUUUAGACACAAGUAGUGUACAAAUGCACACAUUUACACAUUAAUAAAAACAAUCUUUAAAGACAACAACAAAAACUUCACAUAAGACCAAAGAGAAUGCAUCUGAGUUUACAGAAACAUAUUAAGAGCUAAUUUCAAAGCAUUUGUAAACAUUUUAAUUCAAUUUCAAGACAUUUCUUAAAAUCAAAAAAUACUUUGCAACAAUAUUAAUUUAUCCAUGGAUUUUUGCAAAGCAGGAAAGUAUGUUUUCUAACCUCCUUUUAAAAACCCGUUCUUGAACUGGGCAUACUGGUACAAGCUUGAAAACCCAGUACUCAGAAGACAGAGUUAAGCAAAUUUUUGUGGGUUCAAGGCUAGCCUUGUCUACAUAGUGAGUUCCCAGAUAGCCAGGGCUAUGUAGAGACCCUGUAUAAAUAAAUAAAUAAAUAAAUAAAUAAAUAAAUAAAUAAAUAAAUAAAAUUCUCGUGUGGGCUAGAGAAAUGGCUCAACAGUUGCUGUACUUGCAGGGGUUCACAGCAUCCUGGUGGCAGCUCACAGAUGCCCGUAACUCCAGUUCUAGGGGACCCAUCGCCCUCUUCUGGCCUGCUUGAGCAGUGCAUACACAUAGCACACAGACAUACAGGCAAGCAAAAGCAUCCAUACACAUAACAUAAAUAAAGUAAAUCCUUUUUAAAAGUCUUACUCAAUUCUCUUCAUUUGCCUUCCUUCACUUCUUUUCAAAGUUGACUGCUUUGAAUGGAUGGUUGAGGUUUUAGUCUUAAAAGCAAAGGGUGUGGCCUAGUGAGAUAACUCAGUAGAUAAAGGUGCCAAUCUUGAGGACCCGAUUCAAUCCCUGGGACCUACAUGGUAGAGGGGAGAGCUGUUGUCCACAAGUUCCCCUUUAGCCUCCAUAUACAUAUAUAUGUAAAAUAAAAGUUUUGGGGCUGGAGAGCACUGACUGCUCUUCUAGAGGUCCUGAGUUCAACUCCUAGCAACCACACAGUGGCUCACAACCAUCUGUAAUGAGAUCCGAUGCCCUCUUCUGGUGUGUCUGAAGACAGUGACAGUGUACUCAUAUGCAUAAAAUAAAUAAAUCUUUUUGAAAAGUUUUGUAAAUGGAGGAUAACAUUCAAAUCUUAAGACAGGACAGUUGUUCCUUGCUCCUCAGAGGCUCACAUAUAUGAAGUAUCUGUAUUUCUCUGUAGCCUGUGGCAGGAAGACAAUGUAACAACCAUUACCAGUUCUCUGGGGCACUGCAGGCCACAUGAUGGUGAUGUCGAAGGCAGUGCUUCCUCAGUGUCAGAGUCAGCGUGGUGGCGUCUGUGCACAACCCUGGCAAGCUGGUCUUCUGCACCUUUAAUUUUGAGGAAGCUCACUGUCCGUCUGUCUAUAAUGCCAGGCCUGUUCUCCGUCCAGCUCAGCAGCAUGGCAGCCAUUCUUACACAAAGACAUCUGUGAGUUUGGGUGGGAUCUUGUUAACUAUCUCCAAUUAGGCUAAGUGAUAAACUCAAUUUGGGGUUCUUUCAGAAAAAAAAAUAAAAGGCUAAUUCAAUAAAGCCCAACGGUGAUUUCAUAAGAACUUCCACCCCACCUGCCCAGUCCAGGAAACAUGACCAGGGUAGCCAUGGCAAUUUGCACUCUGCAGCUAAAUUGUCUCUUUUCUAAAUUGCCAUAUGUACAAACUCUGCCUCUGGAGGAAGUUCCCUGUUACUUGCAAUCCAAGAAUAAGCUAUUUACAGUGAAGACACUGGUACUGUUUAGUAGCAAAAAGAGAGAAGGCUAAAUUAACGAGAAUAUACAGGAGGACUUGGUCCGCUAUCACUCUCUGUAUCCGCCACCACAGGGAAGGGCCAGACACAACCAGACUCUCACCUGGCUCCACCCUGGCACUUUCACUUAGGAAACACUACAGGAAACAAUAAAUUUUCCAUUUUGAUUUAAAAUGGGGCUUUUCUCCAUCUCUUGUGGUUAACAUUUUAAAAGUUUUUUUUUUUUUUUUACUCAAUUCUGACUAUAUGGUCAACAUCCUAAAAAUCUGUCUUUUUUUUUUUUUUUUUUUUUUUUUUUUGGAUUUGAGAAUCUUGCUAUGUACCCUGACUUGGUCUGGAACUCUUUAUAUAGACCAAUCAAGCUGACCUGGAACUCACAGAGAUUUCCUGUCUUUGCCUCCUGGGUGCUUAAAUUAAAGGGGUAAACUACCAUAAUACACUUUUCUCUUUAAUUAUGGUAAAAAUACAAACUUAAAACUUAUGUCAGCUGGGCAUGGUAGUGCAUGACUUUAAUCCCAGUACUAGGGAGGCAGAGGCAGGAGGAUAUCUGUGAGUUGGAGGCUAACCUCUAUAGUUCCAAAACAGUCAGAGCUAUAUAGUAAGACUCUAUCUCAAG